GUCCUAUCAGAAGCUCCAGCAGUUGUUGA
rnacentral:piRNA from 1 species